GACAGAGGAUGCAAGCGUUAUCCGGAAUGAUUGGGCGUAAAGAGCUCGUAGGCGGUUUGUCGCGUCUGCUGUGAAAAUCCGGGGCUCAACCCCGGACUUGCAGUGGGUACGGGCAGACUAGAGUGUGGUAGGGGAGACUGGAAUUCCUGGUGUAGCGGUGAAAUGCGCAGAUAUCAGGAGGAACACCGAUGGCGAAGGCAGGUCUCUGGGCCGUAACUGACGCUGAGGAGCGAAAGCAUGGGGAGCGAACAGG
rnacentral:rRNA from 1 species